rnacentral:rRNA from 1 species
CCCUUAGAUGUUCUGGGCCGCACGCGCGCUACAAUGAUGAAUUCAACGAGUUUAUAACCUUGAUUGAAAAGUCUGGGUAAUCUUUUGAACUUUCAUCGUGAUGGGGCUAGACCCUUGCAAUUUUUGGUCUCCAACGAGGAAUUCCUAGUAAACGCAAGUCAUCAACUUGCAUUGAUUACGUCCCUGCCCUUUGUACACACCGCCCGUCGCACCUACCGAUUGAAUGGUCCGGUGAAAUCUUUGGACUACGGCUUUGUCUUGUUUAUUCAAGACGCUGCUGUGGGAAAUUGAUUAAACCUUACCAUUUAGAGGAAGGUGAANUCGUAACA